rnacentral:rRNA from 1 species
AAAGGGGCUUCGGCUCCGAGUAAAGUGGCGCACGGGUGAGUAACACGUGGGUAACCUGCCUCUAAGAUUGGGAUAACUCGUCGAAAGAUGAGCUAAUACCGAAUAAGACCACAGUUCCUGCGGGAACAGGGGUCAAAGGUAGCCUCUGCUUGCAAGCUAUCACUUAGAGAUGGGCCUGCGCACCAUUAGCUAGUUGGUAGGGUAACGGCCUACCAAGGCAAAGAUGGUUAGCUGGUCUGAGAGGAUGAUCAGCCACACUGGAACUGAGACACGGUCCAGACUCCUACGGGAGGCAGCAGUGGGGAAUAUUGCGCAAUGGGCGAAAGCCUGACGCAGCAACGCCGCGUGAGUGAUGAAGGCCUUCGGG